ensembl:lncRNA
AUGUUACAUUUGCUCACCGUAUACAUAUCAGAUAUGAAAAAGAAUAUACGGAUGUUAAACGAACAAAUAAACUUAGAAGAUGAAAAAAACAAUACAUAUGAUAUAUUUUUAAAUUUUUAUAUAUGCUCUAAAAGGUCUUAUUAUUAUAAAAAUUUAAAUUUAUUCUAUAUAAAUAUUAUCAAUUUAUUUUUAUGCAUUUAUCAUAUUAUAGAAAAACAUAGUAAAAUAUAUAGCUGCUUAAAUCAUACUAGAGAACUCAGUUUAAGUUUAAGCGAUUUUUUAUUAUGCAUAUACAUAUUUAUUUUAUUACUCAAAAAUGAAAACAGUUAUUUUGAAAAAAUAAUAGAAAUUGUACAGCUCUACCCAAAUGAACAACAACAUGAAAAAUUGUCUAACCAAAUUUUACAUACUUUACUGAAUUAUAUAAAAGGAAUAUAUCAUAGCGAAACCCAUUUUGUAUUAAUUAAUAAUUUGACCUUACAAAAAAUUUGUUCUUUAUUGCGCAAUGACAAAAGUGAGCAAACCGAAAAGGAGCGAACGUUAGAAGAAGCUAAACAUGUGACUAACUUAAAAGAAACCAAAGAUGAAAUUUCCUAUGCAUCUACCUUUUUCGCAAACAGUUUUACCAAAUUUGAAAAAAAAGAGAAAGCGAAAAUAAAAAAUAUAAUAUUGUCAAAUAAAAACCAAAACCAAAUAAGCAUUGACUUAUUCGAUGACAUGAUAUAUUACAAAAAAGUAAAAAAAACAUGUGAACAAUUAAAAAUAGAACUAUGUAUAAAAAUUAUUAGAACAAUGUGUUAUUAUUUAAAUUUAUUACAAAAAAUAUAUAAAGAAAAUAAAAAAGAUAAAAUUCAAUUAAGAAAUAUGAUAUAUCAUAUAUUAUUAGAUAUAUCUUAUAGCAUUAGCAAUUUAAAUAAUAUUCCAUUAGAAACAGAAAAUAUAACUAGUUUACUUAUUUUAUAUUUUUGCUUCUCUUUUAUUUAUAAUUUUAAGCAUAAUGAAUUUAUUAUAGAUAGCUAUUUCAGACAAACGGACCAACCUGGUGGUAAUACGGGUGUACUAUGUUUAGCUGAUUUAAAAACGAGUCACAAAAUGGAUGAUAAGCCGAGUAACAAAAUGGAUGAUAAGCCGAGUAACAAAAUGGAUGAUAAGCCGAGUAACAAAAUGGAUGAUAAGCCGAGUAACAAAACGGAUGAUAAACCGAGCGACAAAACUGAUGAUAAGCCGAGCGACAAAACUGAUGAUAAACCGAGCGACAAAACGCAUGAUAAACAGAGCGACAAAAAUAAUUCACCGAAUGGCAUUAUAGAAAAAACGUUUGUACAAAACUUUUUUGCUCAUUACAAGACAUAUAUAAUGGAUAUAAAAAACGAAAACACCAAACUCCCAUUGAUGAAUGACAAGGAGCAAGAAACUAUGCUUCGAAAAAUAAGUUAUUUAAUUAAAAAAAUAAAAAAAAAAAACAAAAUUAUAAAAAAGGGAAAGUAUCAUUACAAAAGCAGAACAAAUCAUAUACAAAUAAAACAGAAUUUUGAAAAAAAUAUAUUUAUUUAUGAUAGUAAAAAUGAUAUAUAUAAAUUAAUUCCAACUUUUAAUCAAAAUUUUUAUUACUUACAAUCUAUUCAGUAUAGCAUACUAUUAUUAUUAAGCCAUAAUUAUAAACUUAAUAACUUUGAUGCUAUUCAUUUUAAUUAUAUUCAAAUAAUAAAAAAAAAAUUUACUUUAUUGUCUUUUGUAAAAAAUGAAAUUAAUGCAAACAAAACUAUACAAACGAAUAUUACA